rnacentral:lncRNA from 1 species
AAAACCCGAAAAACAAAGAACCCUCAAACGUAAACACAAAAUUCUCUGAAUGUGUUAUGAGUUCUAAUCUAAUGGGUGUCUCUUUUUUUCUAAGAUUGUAAAGGAGCCUAUUUAUAGGCUAAGUUAGUAAGUCAAAUAAACUAUACUAAUAAAUGCUAAAUAUAUUAUACUAAUAAAUACUAAAUCUUCUAGAAAGAAAAUAUAUUUUUGUUUAACUUGACUUGCAAGCAAUCUCUUAGAAUUUGGGUCACACAAUUCUAA